rnacentral:rRNA from 1 species
ACCACCACCGGCGAACCAGUCCCACGGAAACGCCGGCCGCGGCGCGCGCCCCCGCCCCCGCGAGCUCGGAAGAACUGCCCAUCGGGCGCGGCGAGCGCCAAGGAAUCGAAGCGGAAAGGGCGGCCGCCUCACCCGGUGCGAGCGCGCCCCUGCCGGGGACGCCGCACCGCCGUGGGGAUCCGCCGCCCGUCUGUGAACCUCUUAGACGACUCUCGGCAACGGAUAUCUCGGCUCUCGCAUCGAUGAAGAACGUAGCGAAAUGCGAUACUUGGUGUGAAUUGCAGAAUCCCGUGAACCAUCGAGUCUUUGAACGCAAGUUGCGCCCGAGGCCACUCGGCCGAGGGCACGCCUGCCUGGGCGUCACGCCGCCCAUCGCCCCCCCCCCCUGCGGCAUUCCCGUGCCCGGCCGGGGAGCGGAGACUGGCCGUCCGUGCCCGAGCCCUCGGCGCGCGGUCGGCGGAAAAGGAGGACACCGUGCGGCGCGGCACGGCGUGUGGGGGUUGAGAGGCGACCCGUCGCCGAUCGUACGUCGCGCCCGCAUUUCGCCGCGCGCAGUGUCACCCGCGGGACCAGACCCGCCCGCAGCCGCGGGCGCUCGGACCGCGACCCCAGG